rnacentral:misc_RNA from 1 species
GAUGAAGAACGCAGUGAAAUGCGAUAAGUAGUGUGAAUUGCAGAAUUCAGUGAAUCAUCGAAUCUUUGAACGCACAUUGCGCCCUUUGGUAUUCCUUAGGGCAUGCCUGUUCGAGCGUCAUUUAAACCUUCAAGCCCUGCUUGGUGUUGGGUGCCUGUCCCGCCCCCGCGCGUGGACUCACCUCAAAUCCAUUGGCGGCCCCCGCAAGGCCACGAGCGCAGCAGAAACGCAAACUCGUGUGCCCGGCGGGCGGCUCCCAGAAGCUACACCCACCAUUUUGACCUCGGAUCAGGUAGGGAUACCCGCUGAACUUAAGCAUAUCAAUAAGCGGAGGA